rnacentral:rRNA from 1 species
AUACGGAGGAUGCGAGCGUUAUCCGGAUUUAUUGGGUUUAAAGGGAGCGUAGGUGGGAUAUUAAGUCAGCUGUGAAAGUUUGGGGCUCAACCUUAAAAUUGCAGUUGAUACUGGGUGUCUUGAGUACAGUAGAGGCAGGCGGAAUUCGUGGGGGAGCGGGGGAAUGCUUAGAUAUCACGAAGAACUCCGAUUGCGAAGGCAGCCUGCUGGACUGUAACUGACGCUGAUGCUCGAAAGUGUGGGUAUCAAACAGGAUUAGAUACCCUGGUAGUCCACACAGUAAACGAUGAAUACUCGCUGUUUGCGAUAUACAGUAAGCGGCCAAGCGAAAGCGUUAAGUAUUCCACCUGGGGAGUACGCCGGCAACGGUGAAACUCAAAGGAAUUGACGGGG